ensembl:snRNA U1 U1 spliceosomal RNA
GUAAUUAGCUGGCAGGGGAGAUACCAUGAUCAUGAAGGUGGUUUUCCUAGGAUGAGGCUCAUCCAUUGCAAUCCAGAUAUGCUGACUCCUGCAGUUUCCUUAAAUGCAUAGUUUGUGAAGGUUGGUGAAGCAGUGGGGUGGGGGAGUGCAUUCAUGUUUCCCCUG